rnacentral:tRNA from 1 species
UUAAUUAAAACCAAAAUAGAGGUACCUUAAUGUUAAUAAGGAAAUUGAAUUUAUAUUCUAAUUAAA